CGGCCCCGCCCCGAGGAGGGGAGCCGCGGUCGCUACCAGGCGGCGGGUUCGGCUGCGCGGCGGGGCUGAGUCGGCCGCGGUGGCCCGGGCGCAGGGGACAAACGUCUGGUUCCUGAACCGCGGCGCUGGAGACGGUCAGGCCUCGCACACAGGGGGAAGCGGUGCUCCUUGAUUAGAAAAAACUAAAAAAGCUCUCUGGACGCCAGGGCCCAGAGCUGAUGGCAGA